ACGCACGCUGGCGGCGUGCUUAACACAUGCCAGUCGACGGUGAAGCGCCUUCCUUUUUGGUGGGUGUGGAUGAGUGGCGAACGGGUGAGUAACACGUGAGUAACCUGCCCCCUUCUUCUGGAUAACCGCAUGAAAGUGUGGCUAAUACGGGAUAUUCUGGGUCUGUCGCAUGAUGGGUCUGGGAAAGAUAUUGUUUCGGUGGGGGAUGGGCUCGCGGCCUAUCAGCUUGUUGGUGGGGUGAUGGCCUACCAAGGCGGUGACGGGUAGCCGGCCUGAGAGGGUGGACGGUCACACUGGGACUGAGACACGGCCCAGACUCCUACGGGAGGCAGCAGUGGGGAAUAUUGCACAAUGGGCGCAAGCCUGAUGCAGCGACGCCGCGUGAGGGAUGGAGGCCUUCGGGUUGUGAACCUCUUUCGCCAGUGAAGCAGGCCUGCCUCGUUUGUGGGUGGGUUGACGGUAGCUGGAUAAGAAGCGCCGGCUAACUACGUG
rnacentral:rRNA from 1 species